rnacentral:rRNA from 1 species
AAAUUCCGCCCAGGGUUAGCCGGUCCCUUAGUCGAGGCCGAAAGGCGUAGACGAUGGAUAGCAGGUCAACAUUCCUGCGCCACAUAUGUGUACUGAUGGGAGGACGGCGUCCGAAGAGUGAGCGGUACGACUAGAAACGUCCGUGGACUAUCGUAAGGCGAGGGUAGGAAAAUCCGCCCUCACCAGCCAAGCGAUGGUACCGACCGCAUUUACGUUCGGGUAGUCAUUUGGAGGACGUCCAAGAAAAGCCCCUAAGGGUUAAAGCAUAUGUGACCGUACUAAAACUGACACAGGUAGGCGAGACGAGUAGUCUAAGGCGCUCGGGAGAACGGUGGUUAAGGAACUCUGCAAAAUGGCCCCGUAAGUUCGCGAUAAGGGGUGCCCCCGGGGGUUUAUAGCCCCUGAGGGCCACAGUAAAUCGGCAUCAGCGACUGUUUAUCAAAAACACAGGACUCUGCGAACUCGUAAGAGGAUGUAUAGAGUCUGACGCCUGCCCGGUGUUGGUAGGUUAAGGAAGAGGGUUAGCUCGCAAGAGCAAAGCUCGCAACCGAAGCCCCAAUAAACGGCGGCCGUAACUAUGACGGUCCUAAGGUAGCGAAGUUCCUUGUCGGGUAAGUUCCGACCUGCAUGAAUGGCGUAACGACUGGUGUACUGUCUCAACCACCGACCCGGUGAAAUUGUAGCCGUGGUGAAGAUGCCACGUUCCCGCAGCUAGACGGAAAGACCCCGUGAACCUUUACUGUAGGCUGAUAUUGGGCUGUGGUAUGUCUUGUGUAGGAUAGGUGGGAGGCGAUGAAGUGGGUACGCCAGUACUCAUGGAGCCAACCUUGAAAUACCACCCUGGGCAUGCUUUAGUUCUAACCCCGAUUCCCAUGAAACUGGGCGGGGGACAGUGUCAGUUGGGCAGUUUGACUGGGGCGGUCUCCUCCAAAAGAGUAACGGAGGAGCCCAAUGGUACUCUCAGCCUGGUUGGCAAUCAGGCAUCGAGCGCAAAGGUAGAAGAGUGCUUAACUGCGAGACCCAUAAGUCGAGCAGAUGCGAAAGCAGGGCUUAGUGAUCCGGCGGUGCUGGAUGGAAAGGCCGUCGCUCAUCAGAUAAAAGGUACUCCGGGGAUAACAGGCUUAUCGCUUCCGAGCGUCCAUAGCGGCGAAGCGGUUUGGCACCUCGAUGUCGGCUCAUCGCAUCCUGGGGGUGGAGAAGCUCCCAAGGGUUUGGCUGUUCGCCAAUGAAAGCGGUACGUGAGGGGUUCAGACCGUCGUGAGACAGGUCGGUCCCUAUCUACUGUGGGCGCACGAAACUUGCGGAGGUUCUUCUUUAGUACGAGAGGAUUUGGAAGGACGUACCUCUGGUGUUCCAGUUGUCGCGCUAGCGGCACGGCUGGGUAGCUAUGUACGGAACGGAUAAACGCUGAAAGCAUAUAAGCGUGAAACCCGCUCCAAGAUUAGGUUUCGUAGGGCAAUUGCCCGAAAGUCCCCUGGAAGACUACCAGGUUGAUAGGCCGGAUGUGUAAGCGCAGUAAUGCGUUCAGCUAACCGGUUACUAACGGACGAAUGCUUGACCAC